UACGUAGGGUGCAAGCGUUAAUCGGAAUUACUGGGCGUAAAGCGUGCGCAGGCGGUUUUGUAAGUCUGUCGUGAAAUCCCCGGGCUCAACCUGGGAAUGGCGAUGGAGACUGCAAGGCUAGAAUCUGGCAGAGGGGGGUAGAAUUCCACGUGUAGCAGUGAAAUGCGUAGAUAUCGGGAGGAACACCAGUGGCGUAAGCGAUCACCUGGGCUAGACCUGACGCUGAGAGACGAAGGCGUGGGGAGCAAACGGG
rnacentral:rRNA from 1 species